rnacentral:rRNA from 1 species
AGUGAACGCUGGCGGUAGGCCUAACACAUGCAAGUCGAACGGCAGCACAGUAAGAGCUUGCUCUUACGGGUGGCGAGUGGCGGACGGGUGAGGAAUACAUCGGAAUCUACUUUUUCGUGGGGGAUAACGUAGGGAAACUUACGCUAAUACCUCAUACGACCUACGGGUGAAAGCAUGGUAUCUUCGGACCUUGCGCGAUUGAAUGAGCCGAUGUCGGAUUAGCUAGUUGGCGGGGUAAAGGCCCACCAAGGCGACGAUCCGUAGCUGGUCUGAGAGGAUGAUCAGCCACACUGGAACUGAGACACGGUCCAGACUCCUACGGGAGGCAGCAGUGGGGAAUAUUGGACAAUGGGCGAAAGCCUGAUCCAGCAAUACCGCGUGGGUGAAGAAGGCCUUCGGGUUGUAAAGCCCUUUUGUUGGGAAAGAAAAGCAGCAGGUUAAUACCCCGCUGUUCUGACGGUACCCAAAGAAUAAGCACCGGCUAACUUCGUG